rnacentral:rRNA from 1 species
AACGAACGCUGGCGGCACGUUUUAAGCAUGCAAGUCGAAUGGCAGCAGGGGCAACUCUGUGAGAAUGGCGAACGGGUGAGUAACACGUAGGUGAUCUGCCUUGAGGAUGGGGAUAGCCUGUGGAAACACAGGGUAAUACCGAAUAAGCUGACGGGACUUUGGUUUUGUUAGUAAAGGUGCUACGGCACCGCCUUGAGAGGAGCCUGCGGCUGAUUAGCUAGUUGGUGGGGUAAAGGCCUACCAAGGCGACGAUCAGUAGCCGGCCGGAGAGGGUGUACGGCCACACUGGGGCUGAGACACGGCCCAGACUCCUACGGGAGGCAGCAGCUAAGAAUCUUCCGCAAUGGGCGAAAGCCUGACGGAGCGAUGCCGCGUGAUCGAUGAAGGUCGAGAGAUUGUAAAGAUCUUUUCUACAUGAGGAAUAAGUCUGGGAGGGAAUGCCUGGAUGAUGACGUUAGUGUAGGAAUAAGCCCCGGCUAAUUACGUGCCAGCCGCCGCCGUAA